ACAGCAAUAUGAAGGUCAGGCUGAAGACCUUACCCGAUUAGCUGAGGGGUGGUGCAUGGCCGUCGUCAGUUCGUACUGUGAAGCAUCCUGUUAAGUCAGGCAACGAGCGAGACCCACGUCCACAGUUGCCAGCAUACCCUCCGGGGUGAUGGGUACACUGUGGAGACCGCCGCUGCUAAAGCGGAGGAAGGAGUGGGCAACGGUAGGUCAGUAUGCCCCGAAUCUCCCGGGCUACACGCGGGCUACAAUGGUUGGUACAAUGGGCAUCUACCCCGAAAGGGGAAGGAAAUCUCUUAAAGCCAAUCGUAGUUCGGAUUGAGGGCUGCAACUCGCCCUCAUGAAGCUGGAAUCCGUAGUAAUCGCGUUUCAACAGAACGCGGUGAAUACGUCCCUGCUCCUU
rnacentral:rRNA from 1 species